AUAGCCUUUAUGUAUAUAUAUAUUCACUACUGUUUUGUCCAAAUGUCUUUCCCUAUCAGCGUGGUACAGAGCGGGUCCCUGUUGCAACGUAAGGCUCUUUAUGCCAGCAGAUUUGUCUCCAUAUCCUGAGAAUAGGCAGCUGAAGACUAUGUCUGUAGUAUGAAGUAUGUCUGUGCUUGUACCACAGUAAGAUGAGAGGGAGGGAGGGAGUCAUAUCACUCUUAGGGUCUAGAAAUAGCAAUGACCGAAGCAUCCUGGUCACAUGGGCCCAGUUAAUUACAGUGACACAUUGCGAUACAUAGGAGUUCCUCCUGCCUGCCUGUGUGAACAGGCUAUCUUCAAGUUUGCCCCAAGAGCUGUGACUCUGGACUCUGGAUCAAUCGAGAAUGGCAGAACCGUAUGGGCAACAAAUACAAGCCUCAAAGGAGGCAGGAGAAGAAGCCUCCAGUAUCUGAAAGUGCACCACCAAGACCUAGAAUUUCAGUGAGCAAAACAAGGUCACCAGAAACCGAUAACGGGCCCAGUGGCUUCCCAGAAGGGUCACAAGCUAUCCUUCCUGAAAAGCUCCCAUCCUAGUGGAUCAGUAUGGUCAACAUCUUGGAAGUUAUCCAAGGCACCAGGAGAAGGUUCAAACAAACCAGAGGGUUCUGAGUGAGGAAAGUCAUGGAAAUGCUUGAAUUUUCAACCACAGCUUGAUGGCCAAGCUUGGAUUGAGCAAGAGUGCACCAAUGGUGAGCAGAGGGAGGUAAACUUGUAGGGGAAAACGGAUAGGCCUAUUGAUAAAUUGCCAUCUUUGGAGAAUAAGUUGUGAUCAGAGUGGGAGAAAAAUCUGAGGGGAAGAAAAUGGAGGGUGCAACCAACGGGCCCAUGUCUGGAUGGGCGGAUGCUUGGAAGAUCUCAAAACCAGUUGAGAACCAUGAUGAGUCUUCAGAAACAUCAGGCGGUGUAAUGGAUAGUGCACCACUAGACCCCAAUGUUUAUGGCGUGAUAAUACCGGUAUGCAGGCCUGAGAAAUAUAAAUUAGGGAGUGCCCAGUUCUGUGAGGGAAAUAACCCCAUGGCUGAAUGGGGAAAGUCUUGGGAGGUUGCUAAAAACAUGUGGAUUCUAGAAAGUGUGAAACUCAAAAAGAAAGUGGAACCCAAGGGAGAGGAAAAGAAAGAUGAGGGAAUUAAGGUAGAAGAGAGUGAACCUGAUAACGGAUUGCCUAAAAGGCUCAAGCCCAAAUAUAGAUUGGAAAUUCGGCAAAAUCAUAUCAAUCCUCUUUCAAAAUGUGACCUUUCUUAUGAGUGGAAUGAGGCUUGGAAACUCCCCAGAUCUCAGCCUAAGAAAGACCAUAGGGCAAAGCAAGAUGCUGCUGUACUGAAUGGUCCAAUGAUCCUCCAACCCCAUUUGAAGAAAAGAUGUCUGGCAGAUUGGAAGGAAUCUUGGAAAUGCUCAAGGUCCUGGCCCAGUUUCGGCAAGCCCUCAGCCACUGAGUGGAAAGAUUCAAGCUUAUUUGGUUAUGAGCUCAGAACAGGCAGAGAACAGUGGAUGAGGGAGUUAGGCAUUGAGAAAAAACAGGACAAAUAUGAAGUCUUCUCUCCUCCUAAAAGGGGCAUAAAAGCAGAGAUGCUGGAUUCCAUUGGCACAGAAGAGAAGUAUACUCAGUCUUUGAAGCAUCAGAUCAGAACUGAGGUAGUCAGAACUAGGCCCAAUAGAUCAAGGCAAUUUAGAGAGCCUGAAAAAGGAGAAACACCUGCGUCUGAGUGGGCCACAGCAUGGAAAUGCACAAAUGGUACACUGAACCAGGACAGCAGUCUUUGGGAUCAAGGCUGGUCCUCAACUGAAAAUGUCAGACAAGACAAAACCCUCCAUCGUGUGCCAAAAGUGGGGCAGUUUAGCAGAUCUUUCAACCCUGAUGUGUUUAAGGAGAGAGUUCCUCCAUCAGAAUGGAUGGAAUCGUGGAGAGUGGCAACCCUUCAGAGACACCACAAAAGAUUCAUUUUUAAAAGUAAAUCUCACUAUUUUGCCUCUCUUCUUGAGGCAGAAGAGGUUCCACCUUGGGCCAGAACCUGGAAGUUCAUGAAUCUUCUCCCUCGUCAGAACAAGCCACUCUGGGACAAGGGUUGGGAAACCUUUGAAGUGGAAAAGCAGCCUCCAUUUCCUGAAUAUGUUCCCUUCUCAGUACCACAGUCAGAAUGGAGAAUGUCAUGGAAGGUUUGUGUCCCUCAGCCUCUGGAGUGGGAUGACACUCCAAAAGUAUUCCAUCGUAAAGAUAAAGUGCUGUGGUCAAGAAAAAUCCAGAAAAAUCCAGAAAAAUCCAGUCCACAACCGAAGAGGUGGGCAGAUGCUGCGAAACUAACCAAAACCCAACCCCGGGCAAGGAGAGGCCCCACCAGAGGAGCCAAAGGCAAAACAGAUUCAAUGAGUUCAAUGGAAAAAACAUCUUUGUCUGAGUGGGGUAACUCCUGGAAGUUCCUGCUGGCGCCAUACCCUACUGAAAAGAAAUCCCGGAAAGUUAAAAUGGCUGAGAGAGUUGAAGUGACUGUCAUUGACAACAAGCAGCUGCGCGACAGAUGGGAGGAUCGUGCCAAUGCCUUCAGCGAGAAAGCGAUAUUUGAGCGCAAACGAGUGAAGAAAAGUGCCCUUAAUGGCAUGGCUGGAAGUAAAGACCGCUUCACUAGGCUGUUUCAGGAAUGGAAUUACCGGCUUGCCCUCAGAAGUGGGCUCCCUACUUCGGGGGAGAAGAAGGCAAAAGAACAGUCGGAUUUCAGAAAGAUUGUGGUCGCAGCCCCGGAUGAAGAGCAAGAUGAGAAGGUCUUGCAAGCAAAGUUUAAGGUGACCGCUGCCCCGAGAAAACAGGCACCACCGCCUCCACCACCACCACAGAAAAAACGUGAGCCCAGACCUGCACCUCCACCCAAGAAAGACAGGGCACCGAAGCCAAAGCCAGAGGAGAAGAAACCUACCAGAGCAUCACAACCAGCCAGAGCACCAAGUGCACCAAAACCAGCCAAAGCUCCGAGUGCACCAAAACCAGCCAAAGCUCCGAGUGCACCAAAACCAGCCAAAGCCCAGAGUGCACCACAGCCCAUGACAGCCCCAAGUGCACCACAGCCCAUGACAGCCCCAGCAGCAAGGUCAAUUGUUCACAAGGACCUUCUGUCUGAGGCUGGCUGGAAUGAGUCCUGGAAGAUACUGAAACCCCUGAUAAAUAUGGAGAGAGCUUUAGGCACAGGAAGAGAGGCCUUUGAAUUUAAUGUACACAAGUACCGCUCUGUUCAACUCCCACAUGAUGAUAAGCAGCCAGCUUCGUCAGAGUGGAACAACUCCUGGACAUCCAUGAAAAAUGGAGAGGGCAAAGAUUAUCAAGUGGAACCAAAACCCUUGAGGUCUUUCCAGCAGCCUGAAAGUCUCAACUGCUCAGAGUGGGAACAGUCAUGGAAGUUCCAGAAUUUUGAGUUUAAUCAGCAAGUGGAAGCCUGGGGCCAGGAGUGGUCCGGUUAUCGCCGACAACCCAGAGACAAUAGCUCAGCUGAUGCUCAACUCGGUGGAGAUGCACCUCAGGGAUGGGAGGAAUCCUGGAAAUCCUUCAAACCUCCACCAAAACAGGAAAAUGAGCACCUGGAAUUAGAGGACUACUGGUAUAAGGAAUUCUUGGACUUGUACAAACAUGGAGUUUUUUGUCCUGGUUGGAAUGACUCCUGGAAAGUACAAGAAGUAAAAACUCAAUGUAAGGCUUUUGGGGAAGCAUGUUUGAAAGACUGGGCUGAGUCGUGGAAAUGCUCCUGUCAGCCCAGCUGGUGCGAGGAAUCCAUGCAUCUCCGUCAUCGCCAUCAUGUCUGGCUGAUGUCAAAACGCUUGAUGUGCAACAAACUAAAGAGCUCUCGGCUACAAGGAGAGCUGCCAUCAGAGUGGACAUCGGAGUCCUGGAAAUGCCUGAAAACUCAAACUCAGUCACAAGAGAUGGAGUCCAUCUCAGCAGAAGUAGAUGUUUCAAACGUACCUAUGCAUCUCCAGUUUCAUAUGUUGAACACAUCGUUCCCUAGUUGGGAUGAGUCAUGGUCUGUCUCGAGGAUGCCCAGGUCCAGAGAUGAGACACAGCCAAAACCCCAGUGGGGAAACUCCUGGAAAAUCUCCAACUCAAAUCCAUCCGCUAGAUCUGAUAUCAAGCAAGAUAUUGUGAGUUGGUCAAACGAGCACAAAGCCUAUAUGGAAUCAGACACAGAUCAUAUGAAAGAACACAUCACCCCAAGUGAGUGGAGUGGAUCCUGGCAGACCAUGAAGCCUCCAGCUCAAUCAGAGACAGAGCCCCAGCAAGACUUUACAGAGGCCCAAGAUAGUCUACCCAAUCACGUACAUCUUAUCGAAAAUCUACUUUUAGAUUGGAACGACUCCUGGAGAUCCUCAAACAACCACGCCAGCUCGAACACACUGUCACUGUCAAAAUGGAGUGAGUCCUGGAGGUUCUCAAACCCCAACCACCCUGAUGCUCUUCGACAGAAAGAAACCAACAGACAGAAGAACAGUGGCCUGAAGUAUCAAGAAGGUCCCCUCACAGGGGAGCCACAGUUCACAGAAUGGAGUGAAUCCUGGAUGUACCUGAAGUUUGACUCUCAGAAGCCUGAGACGCCUCGGGAGGACAAUGGGGAGUGGGGGGAGUCCUGGAGGGUGCUGAAUCCCCAACUCUACCUGAAGAAAGAGGCCUGGAGCGAGCAGGAGUUUGCCGGAGAGUUUGACGACCUCCGUCUGCAGCCGUCGUUCCUGUUGAAGGAAGAUAAAAAAGUACUUAGCCCUGAGCUCAGCAUGUCAGAAUGGAAUGAGUCAUGGAAGUUUUGGAAACAGGAGGCAGAGCACGAAAAGAAAUAGGACAUUGAGAUGAAUCGCUUCAGUACUGGGUGGUGCUCCUACACUGUUGUGUGUGUUGAUUUAAUGAUUUGUUUUUUUGUUGUUGUUGUUGUUGAGACAGUUGACUGAUGGUUUUGAGUUCCACAAAUGUGACAUAUAAACACUAUUCAUUGUUUGAUUUCUUAUUUGAAACCACUAAUGAAUCAUUGCACAGCAAAGCUAGCAACAGUAGAUGUGUUUGCUGUUACUAAGUAAUAUUGUAUUUUACCUCAGGCCAUAACACCAUAAGACAUUUCAUCAGAGUUAAAAUGGAUAACACUGGGGAGAAUAUAAAUCAGCAAACGUCUGGCAGCGAAGACUGCUUGUGUGUCUGCCAUACACACAUAAACUUAGGAAUAUACCUCAAGUUCAAUAGUAUUCAUAUUGAACAGAAAGAUACAUUUUGCAAAGGUCACUCCUCCACUUAAUUGAAAGUAUCAAGCACACACCCCUGUGAAGGUUUUCAGAUAUUAUUCAGAUGUCAAAUGUAAUGCAGCCAAAAUAUUCAAAGUACAUAGCUUGCUGUAGUGAAAUAUUUCCUUUGGUACUAAUUGUUUUACAUGGCCAAUGGAUACAUCUACUAAAACUUCUUGUCACAAAGUAAUUGACUGAUUAAGGUUUACUAUGGACUAUGAUAGAGUUCAACCUGACUUUAAUUACAGCAAGAAUGAUUUUCCAUUCAUACACUCAGUCUUACAGUACAUGUUGGAAGGUUUAAAGUUAGCUUCUUUCUGAGUUUGAUUGGUUUUUACAUGCUAAUAUAGCUAAUAGAAGUGCACUCUUAUCAAGGUAUUCAGUAAUGUUGUCCAGUAAUAUCACAGCAGCAUGCCAGUGUGGUCUCAAACCAAGGAUGGAUGCCUGUUAUCAACAAAAAUGAAUUGCAUCCUUUGUGCCAGCCAUCUUGGAAUUGAGCAUAAAAAUGCCUAUAAUGCUAUGACUAGUCAUCUAUUUCAGAAAUAGAUUUUUUUGUUGUUGCUUUGUU
rnacentral:lncRNA from 1 species